rnacentral:rRNA from 1 species
AACGAACGCUGGCGGCAUGCCUAACACAUGCAAGUCGAACGAGACCUUCGGGUCUAGUGGCGCACGGGUGCGUAACGCGUGGGAACCUGCCCUUAUGUUCGGAAUAACUCCCCGAAAGGGGUGCUAAUACCGGAUAAUGUCUUCGGACCAAAGAUUUAUCGCCUUUGGAUGGGCCCGCGUUGGAUUAGCUAGUUGGUAGGGUAAAAGCCUACCAAGGCGACGAUCCAUAGCUGGUCUGAGAGGAUGAUCAGCCACACUGAGACUGAGACACGGCCCAGACUCCUACGGGAGGCAGCAGUGGGGAAUAUUGGACAAUGGGCGAAAGCCUGAUCCAGCAAUGCCGCGUGAGUGAUGAAGGCCUUAGGGUUGUAAAGCUCUUUUACCCGGGAUGAUAAUGACAGUACCGGGAGAAUAAGCGCCGGCUAACUCCGUG